AUGUUCCAUCCCAGCUCCCCAGGAGACAGGGAAGGGAACAUCCUGCAUCCCGGAGCCCACGCUGUGACCCAAAUAUCCCACUGUUGUUCCGAGUGCCUUAAAUCCAUCCAGAGCCCAGCAAAGGUAUUUCUGUUCCCUGUGCUCUUCCUCUUACACCUCUCAGCUGCUCAUCCCUGUAUCCCAGUCAGUCCAUCCCUGUAUCCCUGUCAGUCCAUCCCUCUAUUCCAGUCAGUCCGUCCCUGUAUCCCAGUCAGUCCCUCCCUGUAUCCCAGUCAGUCCUUCCCUGUAUCCCAGUCAGUCCAUCCCUGUCAGUCCAUCCCUGUAUCCCAGUCAGUCCAUCCCUCUAUCCCUGUCAGUCCAUCCCUGUAUCCCAGUCAGUCCAUCCUUCUAUCCCAAUCAGUCCAUCCCUGUAUCCCAGUCAGUCCAUCCCUGUAUCCCAGUCAGUCCAUCCCUGUAUCCCACUCAGUCCAUCCCUGUAUCCCAGUCAGUCCAUCCCUGUAUCCCACUCAGUCCAUCCCUGUAUCCCACUCAGUCCAUCCCUGUAUCCCAGUCAGUCCAUCCCUGUAUCCCACUCAGUCCAUCCCUGUAUCCCACUCAGUCCAUCCCUGUAUCCCAGUCAGUCCAUCCCUCUAUUCCAGUCAGUCCAUCCCUGUAUCCCACUCAGUCCAUCCCUGUAUCCCAGUCAGUCCAUCCCUGUAUCCCUGUCCAUCCAUCCCUCUAUUCCAGUCAGUCCAUCCCUCUAUCCCAAUCAGUCCAUCCCUCUAUUCCAGUCAGUCCAUCCCUGUAUCCCAGUCAGUCCAUCCCUGUAUCCCAGUCAGUCCAUCCCUGGUGUCAUCCCAGAGCCCCGGCUGCAAUUCCAGCUCCCAGUGGAGCCAGACAGGACUUGGUCACUGGGAGCUGCCCCAGGGACCCCCGAGGAUUCAGAAGGACCCCCAGGGCCCCUUCCCCUCCCUUGCUGGACUUGCCAUGGAUUUGGGAUGCAGGGAUAAUGUGGUGUCUGUGUCCUGCCAUCAGCUCCAGAUGGAUCCCAGCUCCAGCCUGGGCGUGGGAUCUGUCCGAGCGGGAGAGAAACUGGGCUUAAAAGCACCAAAAAAAUGGAUUAUCCCUCUUUUUCUGCUUGAAUAG
rnacentral:lncRNA from 1 species